UACGUAGGGGGCAAGCGUUGUCCGGAUUUAUUGGGCGUAAAGAGCGUGUAGGCGGUCGGGUAGGUCCGUUGUGAAAACUCGAGGCUCAACCUCGAGACGCCGAUGGAAACCAUCUGACUAGAGUCCGGAAGAGGAGAGUGGAAAUUCCUGGUGUAGCGGUGAAAUGCGUAGAGAUCGGAAAGAACACCAACGGCGAAAGCACUCUGCUGGGCCGACACUGACACUGAGAGACGAAGGCUAGGGGAGCGAAUGGG
rnacentral:rRNA from 1 species